AAGUUUACUUUUUAAGUGUUCAGUUGCUUUGUUAACCUUGUGUUCUUUUCAUUGCUGGAUUGCACUGUCGUAUUCGUAAAUUUGCUAUUAAGUUAAAUGAGAAAUGUUGCAAGUGGUAAAUGAAAGUAGUGUCUUUGUGGCCAAAAUUUCACUUCAGAAUGCACAAGCCUAUUGUUGUUUCCUUUCUUUAAUUUAUGAUUGCAGUUUUCAUCUUGUGGAGGGAAACAAUAUUGUCAUAUGCCUACUAGGUAGUUUUUCAUGUUAAUAGGAAAUACGGCAACCUGCUUAGCUUGCAAAAACUAGCAUAAUUUUUUGGUGGGUUUGGGUUUUGCUUUUGAAACUUGGACAAAGGAUAA
rnacentral:misc_RNA from 1 species